rnacentral:rRNA from 1 species
AUUGAACGCUGGCGGCAUGCCUUACACAUGCAAGUCGAACGGCAGCACGGGAGCAAUCCUGGUGGCGAGUGGCGAACGGGUGAGUAAUAUAUCGGAACGUGCCCAGUAGUGGGGGAUAGCCCGGCGAAAGCCGGAUUAAUACCGCAUGAGACCUGAGGGUGAAAGCGGGGGAUCGCAAGACCUCGCGCUAUGGGAGCGGCCGAUAGCAGAGUAGCUAGUUGGUGGGGUAAAGGCCUACCAAGGCAACGAUCUGUAGUUGGUCUGAGAGGACGACCAGCCACACUGGGACUGAGACACGGCCCAGACUCCUACGGGAGGCAGCAGUGGGGAAUUUUGGACAAUGGGCGCAAGCCUGAUCCAGCAAUGCCGCGUGCAGGAAGAAGGCCUUCGGGUUGUAAACUGCUUUUGUCAGGGAAGAAAUCACUUGGGAUAAUACCUCGGGGGGAUGACGGUACCUGAAGAAUAAGCACCGGCUAACUACGUGCCAGCCGCCGCCGUAAGAC